GUGGUGGAGAGAUUGGCUUGUGGCGGUGAAGGUGUGGUUCUUCUGGGGAAGCUGAGGCAGGUGGCAGAGCAUCAGGUCCCAAGAGGCCUGGGUACUGACUGCAGGUACCACCAGGGUGCUGCUCCCCACAGCACCGCUGCGGCGCGGCUGGUCAUUUCUGCUGAUCUAUUCCGGAUGAGGCAGGCUCCAAGACCAGCUCUGACCUGCCUGGGAUCCAAACCAUCAACAUUGUCUGCUCCUGACAUCCGACCAGCCGCUUUAUCACGGCUGAGGAUCCAGGAUCGCUGGAAGCAGAUAAUUCUCCUGACCUGCCAUUGAAGGUCAAUAUGAGCCCAAGGCUACAUCACAGCGCCUGCGUCAUUCACCUCACUUCCUUUCCCAUCAUCACAAGAAGGAGACUGGUGAGUAUAGAACAAUUAAACGUUUUGAGAGAGGUGACAUUCACAUAACUUUCAUUAUAGUAUUUGCUAUAACUGUUGUAAUUUACUAUUAGUUACUGCUAACCUCUUACUGCACCUAAUUGAUAAAUUAGACUUUAUUGUAGAUGUGUGUGUGUCAGAAAACAUACAGUAUAUAAAGGGUUCAGUGCUAUCUGUGAUUUCAGGCAUCCAUAGGGCAGGGGGUGUCUUGGGAUGCUUCCCCUGUGGGUAAGGAGGGACCACUGUGCCAAAAAGUAUAAAAAGAUGUAUGUCAAUACAAAAGAUCAGAAAGUCUUUACUUUCUUGUUUAUUUGUUUAUUUAUUUAUUUUUGGCUGCGCUGGGUCUUCCUUGCUGCGCAGGCUUUUCUCUAGCUGUGGCAAGCAGGGACUACUGUCUAGUGGCGGUAUACAGGUUUCUC
rnacentral:lncRNA from 1 species